GAUGAACGCUGGCGGCGUGCCUAAUACAUGCAAGUCGAGCGAACGGACGAGAAGCUUGCUUCUCUGAUGUUAGCGGCGGACGGGUGAGUAACACGUGGAUAACCUACCUAUAAGACUGGGAUAACUUCGGGAAACCGGAGCUAAUACCGGAUAAUAUUUUGAACCGCAUGGUUCAAAAGUAAAAGACGGUCUUGCUGUCACUUAUAGAUGGAUCCGCGCUGCAUUAGCUAGUUGGUAAGGUAACGGUUUACCAAGGCAACGAUGCAUAGCCGACCUGAGAGGGUGAUCGGCCACACUGGAACUGAGACACGGUCCAGACUCCUACGGGAGGCAGCAGUAGGGAAUCUUCCGCAAUGGGCGAAAGCCUGACGGAGCAACGCCGCGUGAGUGAUGAAGGUCUUCGGAUCGUAAAACUCUGUUAUUAGGGAAGAACAUAUGUGUAAGUAACUGUGCACAUCUUGACGGUACCUAAUCAGAAAGCCACGGCUAACUACGUGCCAGCAGCCGCGGUAAUACGUAGGUGGCAAGCGUUAUCCGGAAUUAUUGGGCGUAAAGCGCGCGUAGGCGGUUUUUUAAGUCUGAUGUGAAAGCCCACGGCUCAACCGUGGAGGGUCAUUGGAAACUGGAAAACUUGAGUGCAGAAGAGAAAGUGGAAUUCCAUGUGUAGCGGUGAAAUGCGCAGAGAUAUGGAGGAACACCAGUGGCGAAGGCGACUUUCUGGUCUGUAACUGACGCUGAUGUGCGAAAGCGUGGGGAUCAAACAGGAUUAGAUACCCUGGUAGUCCACGCCGUAAACGAUGAGUGCUAAGUGUUAGGGGGUUUCCGCCCCUUAGUGCUGCAGCUAACGCAUUAAGCACUCCGCCUGGGGAGUACGACCGCAAGGUUGAAACUCAAAGGAAUUGACGGGGACCCGCACAAGCGGUGGAGCAUGUGGUUUAAUUCGAAGCAACGCGAAGAACCUUACCAAAUCUUGACAUCCUUUGACAACUCUAGAGAUAGAGCCUUCCCCUUCGGGGGACAAAGUGACAGGUGGUGCAUGGUUGUCGUCAGCUCGUGUCGUGAGAUGUUGGGUUAAGUCCCGCAACGAGCGCAACCCUUAAGCUUAGUUGCCAUCAUUAAGUUGGGCACUCUAAGUUGACUGCCGGUGACAAACCGGAGGAAGGUGGGGAUGACGUCAAAUCAUCAUGCCCCUUAUGAUUUGGGCUACACACGUGCUACAAUGGACAAUACAAAGGGCAGCGAAACCGCGAGGUCAAGCAAAUCCCAUAAAGUUGUUCUCAGUUCGGAUUGUAGUCUGCAACUCGACUACAUGAAGCUGGAAUCGCUAGUAAUCGUAGAUCAGCAUGCUACGGUGAAUACGUUCCCGGGUCU
rnacentral:rRNA from 1 species